rnacentral:lncRNA from 1 species
UCCAGCCACACCCAGGCCUGAAUCGCUGCAGGGUGUUGGAUCUGGAUCCGAGUUGUCCAACAAGGCUGGUGAAACCCUGGAGGGGAUAGCAAGGAACUCAGACCCUGGGGAAGAAUGGGUGCUCAGAUCAAGACUGCUUCUGUCUCUCCAUCCUCUGGCAGACGUGCUUGGGGAGCCCCCUCUGCCCUUCAUUUGUGAUUCUCAAGUCACCUAUACCUGGGACAAACAUCCCGAGAGAAGAAAGAACCUGUCCUCUUUUCAGACCCAUAAGCUUCCUGGUGGCUGCCUCCUGCUUUUCUGGGAGCCCUCCACAGCACCCUAGCCCCUGGAUCCUGGCAGAGAGGCCAGAGGAAA